UGCUAAACCUGUUAGGUGAGGCUCCUAUACAAACACAGGCUAUUGCCCAAAAAUGUCGAAAGACGCCAAUGGGUAGAACAGGAAUUGUCGGAUUAAGGCUCUUCUUAAGAUAGCUAAGUAAUGAAUUUCCAUUACUUUACGUUGUAUAGUGCCAAAGCUCUACUAGGGGGAGAAAAG
rfam:Bacillus cereus Rock4-18 chromosome, whole genome shotgun sequence.